rnacentral:rRNA from 1 species
AGUGGCGAACGGGUGAGUAAUAUAUCGGAACGUACCUUGUAAUGGGGGAUAACUAGUCGAAAGAUUAGCUAAUACCGCAUACGCCCUGAGGGGGAAAGUAGGGGAUCUUCGGACCUUACGUUAUAAGAGCGGCCGAUAUCUGAUUAGCUAGUUGGUGGGGUAAUGGCCACCAAGGCGACGAUCAGUAGCUGGUCUGAGAGGACGACCAGCCACACUGGAACUGAGACACGGUCCAGACUCCUACGGGAGGCAGCAGUGGGGAAUUUUGGACAAUGGGCGCAAGCCUAAUCCAGCCAUUCCGCGUGAGUGAAGAAGGCCUUCGGGUUGUAAAGCUCUUUCGCAAGGGAAGAAAACUUACAUUCUAAUAAAGUGUGAGGUUGACGGUACCUUGAUAAGAAGCACCGGCUAACUACGUGCCAGCAGCCGCGGUAAUACGUAGGGUGCGAGCGUUAAUCGGAAUUACUGGGCGUAAAGCGUGCGCAGGCGGUUUUGUAAGUCAGAUGUGAAAUCCCCGAGCUCAACUUGGGAACUGCGUUUGAAACUACAAGACUAGAAUAUGUCAGAGGGGGGUAGAAUUCCACGUGUAGCAGUGAAAUGCGUAGAGAUGUGGAGGAAUACCAAUGGCGAAGGCAGCCCCCUGGGAUAAUAUUGACGCUCAUGCACGAAAGCGUGGGGAGCAAACAGGAUUAGAUACCCUGGU